UACACUCCUGCGGGAGGCAGCAGUGGGGAAUAUUGCACAAUGGGCGCAAGCCUGAUGCAGCCAUGCCGCGUGUAUGAAGAAGGCCUUCGGGUUGUAAAGUACUUUCAGCGGGGAGGAAGGCGAUAAGGUUAAUAACCUUGUUGAUUGACGUUACCCGCAGAAGAAGCACCGGCUAACUCCGUGCCAGCAGCCGCGGUAAUACGGAGGGUGCAAGCGUUAAUCGGAAUUACUGGGCGUAAAGCGCACGCAGGCGGUCUGUCAAGUCGGAUGUGAAAUCCCCGGGCUCAACCUGGGAACUGCAUUCGAAACUGGCAGGCUAGAGUCUUGUAGAGGGGGGUAGAAUUCCAGGUGUAGCGGUGAAAUGCGUAGAGAUCUGGAGGAAUACCGGUGGCGAAGGCGGCCCCCUGGACAAAGACUGACGCUCAGGUGCGAAAGCGUGGGGAGCAAACAGGAUUAGAUACCCUAGUAGUCCCAUGAU
rnacentral:rRNA from 1 species